GAAUCUGCCCUCAGGAGGGGGAUAACGGUUGGAAACGACCGCUAAUACCCCAUANGCCGAGAGGUGAAAUGAAAUUCGCCUGAGGAUGAGCUCGCGUCUGAUUAGCUAGUUGGUAAGGUAAUGGCUUACCAAGGCAUUGAUCAGUAGCUGGUNUGAGAGGAUGAUCAGCCACACUGGGACUGAGACACGGCCCAGACUCCUACGGGAGGCAGCAGUGGGGAAUUUUCCGCAAUGGGCGCAAGCCUGACGGAGCAACGCCGCGUGAGGGAUGAAGGCCUCUGGGCUGUAAACCUCUUUUAUCAAGGAGGAAGAACUGACGGUACUUGAUGAAUAAGCCACGGCUAAUUCCGUNCCAGCAGCCGCGGUAAUACGGGAGUGGCAANNGUUAUCCGNAAUUAUUGGGCGUAGAGCGUCCGCAGGCGGUUUUACAANUCUGUCGUNAAAGCGUGGAGCUCAACUCCANUUCAGCGAUGGAAACUGUAAGACUCGAGUGUGGUAGGGGCAGAGGGAAUUCCCGGNGUAGCGGUGAAAUGCGUAGAUAUNGGGAAGAACACCAGNGGNGAAAGCGNUNUGNUGGNCCAUAACUGACGCUCANGGACGAAAGCCAGGGGAGCG
rnacentral:rRNA from 1 species